AUGAACGCUGGCGGCGUGCCUAAUACCUGCAAGUCGCGCGCACGGACGAGAAGCUUGCUUCUCUGAUGUUAGCGGCGGACGGGUGAGUAACACGUGGAUAACCUACCUAUAAGACUGGGAUAACUUCGGGAAACCGGAGCUAAUACCGGAUGAUAUUUUGAACCGCAUGGUUCAAAAGUGAAAGACGGUCUUGCUGUCACUUAUAGAUGGAUCCGCGCUGCAUUAGCUAGUUGGUAAGGUAACGGCUUACCAAGGCAACGAUGCAUAGCCGACCUGAGAGGGUGAUCGGCCACACUGGAACUGAGACACGGUCCAGACUCCUACGGGAGGCAGCAGUAGGGAAUCUUCCGCAAUGGGCGAAAGCCUGACGGAGCAACGCCGCGUGAGUGAUGAAGGUCUUCGGAUCGUAAAACUCUGUUAUUAGGGAAGAACAUAUGUGUAAGUAACUGUGCACAUCUUGACGGUACCUAAUCAGAAAGCCACGGCUAACUACGUG
rnacentral:rRNA from 1 species